GUGAGGAAUAUUGCGCAAUGGAGGCAACUCUGACGCAGCCAUGCCGCGUGCAGGAAGAAGGCGCUACGCGUUGUAAACUGCUUUUAACCGGGAAGAAACCCCAGGACGUGUCCUGGGUUGACGGUACCGGAGGAAUAAGCACCGGCUAACUUCGUGCCAGCAGCCGCGGUAAUACGAAGGGUGCAAGCGUUAUCCGGAUUCAUUGGGUUUAAAGGGUGCGUAGGCGGAGCGUUAAGUCAGUGGUGAGAUCCUGCAGCUUAACUGUAGACUUGCCAUUGAUACUGGCGCUCUUGAGUGCGCUUGAAGUGGGCGGAAUGUGCCGUGUAGCGGUGAAAUGCUUAGAUAUGGCACAGAACACCAAUUGCGAAGGCAGCUCACUAAGGCGAUACUGACGCUGAGGCACGAAAGCGUGGGGAUCGAACAGGAUUAGAUACCCGGGUAGUCC
rnacentral:rRNA from 1 species